rnacentral:rRNA from 1 species
UCAGGCCUAACACAUGCAAGUCGAACGAAAUCUUCGGAUUUAGUGGCGGACGGGUGAGUAACGCGUGAGAAUCUGCCUUCAGGUUGGGGACAACAGUUGGAAACGACUGCUAAUACCCAAUGUGCCGAGAGGUGAAAGUUAUUUCGCCUGAAGAGGAGCUCGCGUCCGAUUAGCUAGUUGGUGGGGUAAAAGCCUACCAAGGCGUCGAUCGGUAGCUGGUCUGAGAGGAUGAGCAGCCACACUGGGACUGAGACACGGCCCAGACUCCUACGGGAGGCAGCAGUGGGGAAUUUUCCGCAAUGGGCGAAAGCCUGACGGAGCAAUACCGCGUGAGGGAGGAAGGCUUUUGGGUCGUAAACCUCUUUUCUUAGGGAAGAAGAUCUGACGGUACCUAAGGAAUCAGCAUUGGCUAACUCCGUGCCAGCAGCCGCGGUAAUACGGAGGAUGCAAGCGUUAUCCGGAAUUAUUGGGCGUAAAGCGUCCGCAGGUGGUCUUUCAAGUCUGCUGUCAAAUACCAGAGCUCAACUCUGGGCCGGCGGUGGAAACUGGGAGACUAGAGUACGGUAGGGGUAGAGGGAAUUUCCAGUGUAGCGGUGAAAUGCGUAGAGAUUGGAAAGAACACCAGUGGCGAAGGCGCUCUACUGGACCGUAACUGACACUCAGGGACGAAAGCUAGGGGAGCGAAAGGGAUUAGAUACCC